rnacentral:rRNA from 1 species
UACAGAGGUCCCAAGCGUUGUUCGGAUUCACUGGGCGUAAAGGGUGCGUAGGUGGCCGGGUAAGUCUGACGUGAAAUCUCCAAGCUCAACUUGGAAACUGCGUCGGAUACUAUCCGGCUAGAGGAUCGGAGGGGAGACUGGAAUACUUGGUGUAGCAGUGAAAUGCGUAGAUAUCAGGAGGAACACCGGUGGCGAAGGCGGCCCUCUGGACGGUGACUGACGCUGAGACGCGAAAGCGUGGGGAGCAAACAGG